CCUACGGGAGGCAGCAGUGAGGAAUAUUGGUCAAUGGACGAGAGUCUGAACCAGCCAAGUAGCGUGAAGGAUGACUGCCCUAUGGGUUGUAAACUUCUUUUAUAUGGGAGUAAAAUGUUCCACGUGUGGGAUUUUGUAUGUACCAUAUGAAUAAGGAUCGGCUAACUCCGUACCAGCAGCCGCGGUAAUACGGAGGAUCCGAGCGUUAUCCGGAUUUAUUGGGUUUAAAGGGAGCGUAGGUGGAUUGUUAAGUCAGUUGUGAAAGUUUGCGGCUCAACCGUAAAAUUGCAGUUGAAACUGGCAGUCUUGAGUACAGUAGAGGUGGGCGGAAUUCGUGGUGUAGCGGUGAAAUGCUUAGAUAUCACGAAGAACUCCGAUUGCGAAGGCAGUUCACUGGACUGCAACUGACACUGAGGCUCGAAAGUGUGGGUAUCAAACAGGAUUAGAUACCCUAGUAGUC
rnacentral:rRNA from 1 species